CCUGGAGAAAGAAGAGCAGAUCUUUGUGGUCAUCAAGGACAACCCCUAGUCUAACUGACAUUGUCCGCCUUCCUCUCGAUCCCGAGCCUCAGCCACAGCGUCAUCUCCCAGACGAGCUUCCGAGCAGAGUACAAGUCCACGGGCGGGCCGGCCGUCUUCCAGAAGCCGGUCAAGUUCCAGGUGGACAUCACCUACACGGAGGGGGGCGAAGCCCAGAAGGAGAACGGCAUCUACUCAGUCACUUUCACACUUUUGUCAGGUCCAAGCCGGCGCUUUAAGAGGGUGGUGGAGACUAUUCAGGCCCAGUUAUUAAGCACGCACGACCAGCCAUCAGUCCAGCAGUUAUCAGAAACCCCCCAUUCAGCUCCAGGACUAAGCUGGGGAGCUGUGUUUAAGGGCCAGAAGGUGGCCACCAGCUACGAGAGUAGCCUCUGAGACUAUAGCAGACACCACUAACUGUAUGGAAUUGAUGACGGGGAGACUUUCCAAAUGUGACGAGAAGAACGGGCAGGUGGCCCACCCCCCCGGCACGCCAACCAAGCCUAGCGCCCACAGCCAGCGGAGAGAGGCCGAGGCGCCUGCCGCCAAGUACCCGGGCGGCAGAGACAAGGCAAAGUCGGCCGCACCAGCCGCCAGCCAAGAGCAACCCUAGAGACAGACUGCCGCCCGCCCGCCCGCCCGCCCAGAGCUGCCCUCCCCCUAAGCACAGCGCCGAGCCCGGCGAGCCCCGCGGCCUCCGUAGGGAGCCGGCCUGGCCGCCGGCGGGACGGGCAGAGCAGGCUGGCACUGCUGCCAGGGCAGCCGCGGGAGCCCGGGCCGCCCGGACCGAGGACUGUGUAUAUGUACACGACCAUAUAGAUAUUAUAUAUAUAUAUAUAUUAUAUAUAUACAUACAUACAUAUAGAUUUAUAGUCGCGCUAUGCUCUGGGCAGCCAGGCAGGGGACGGGCGGAGCCGCUGACGGACGGGCAGGCAGGCGGCACGGACGGACAGACAGACGGCACGGACACAUAGCACAGACUUCGCAAAGCACUGGCUCUGGCGAGGGCGCCGGGCCUCCCUCUCCUCCCCACUGCUGCUCUGCUCCCUCCCCCGGCGGGGGCCUUUCUGGGCUCCUGCUUUGGCCCUGGUUGGCUCUGAGCGUGCUCUCUGUCUCCUCCCCUCCUCGGCUCUCUCUGUCUCUCCUCUGUCCCCGUGUCUCUCGAGUCUGUCUGUGUGUCCUUUUCUUUCCUCUCAGUCUAUGGAACUGUCUCUUUGUUUCCUCUUUCUCCCUCUCUGUGUGUCUAUCUCUCUGUCUCUGUCCCCAUGUGUCUCUUUCCUCUCUCUCAUUCUCUUUGUGUGACUGUCUUUCUCCAUCUGUGUCUCUUGUCUCAUUAUAUGUCUCUCUCCUCUCUCUCCUUCUGUAUCUGUGUCUGUCUCCUCUGUCUGUUUUCCUACAUCUGUCUCAUUUCUUUCUCUCUCUGUCUCUCUUUUUUGUCUCCCUCUCUCUCUCAUGUUUCUUUCUCUCUGUGUUUCUCUAUGUGUCUCUGUGUGUCUCAUUAUAUGUUUCUCUGUCUCUUUUCUGUUUCUCUAUGUCUGUGUCUCAUUAUAUGUUUCUCUCUGUCUCUGUGUCUGUCUCUCUCUGUCUGUCUUGGUCUCUCUCUCUGUCUCUGUUUCUCCACGUCUGUGUCUCAUGUUUCUCUCUGUGUCUCUCUGUCUCCGUCUGUCUCUCUCUAUCUCUGUGUGAGUCUCUCUCUCUGUCUCUGUGUCUCUGUCUGUCUCGGUCUCUCUUUCUGUCUCUGUUUCUCCAUGUCUGUGUCUCAUGUUUCUCUCUGUGUCUCUCUGUCUCUGUCUCUCUCUAUCUCUGUGUGAGUCUCUCUGUCUCUGUCUGUCUCUAUCUCUGUGUGAGUCUCUCUGUAUCUCUCUGUCUCUGUCUGUCUCGGUCUCUCUCUCUGUCUCUGUUUCUCCACGUCUGUGUCUCAUGUUUCUCUCUGUGUCUCUCUCUCUGUCUCUCUCUAUCUCUGUGUGAGUCUCUCUGUCUCUGUCUGUCUCUAUCUCUGUGUGAGUCUCUCUGUAUCUCUCUGUCUCUCUCUGUCUGUCUCGGUCUCUCUCUCUGUCUCUGUUUCUCCACGUCUGUGUCUCAUGUUUCUCUCUGUGUGUCUCUGUCUCUAUCUCUGUGUGAGUCUCUCUGUCUGUCUCUGUGUCUCUGUCUGUCUCGGUCUCUCUCUCUGUCUCUGUUUCUCCACGUCUGUGUCUCAUGUUUCUCUCUGUGUCUCUCUGUCUCUGUCUCUCUCUAUCUCUGUGUGAGUCUCUCUCUCUCUGUCUCUGUGUGUCUCUCUGUCUGUCUCUCUCUCUCUCUCUCUGUCUCCCUGUCUCUGUCUCUGAUGCCGUGGCUUGUUUCCGCUCUGAUCCCAGGAAUUAUCCCGCAAAGUUAACCUGCCGUCACCGCCAGCCGCCGCCCGCCGCCUUCCGUGCUUGGAGGACUCAGGAUGGAAGGCAGCCGCUUCGGAUUCAGGGCCUCCUCCUCCCGAGCCUCCCGGGCCCCCCCUCCCGCCUCCCUCCACGGCCCGCGGGGCCGAUGGAGCCCAGCUCAGUGCGGCCCGCCGGAGGACCCCCCCCCCAACCUCUUCUUAGGGCGGGAUCAAAAAGCACAGCCUCCGGCCUCCGGCCCUGCCCGCGGAGAGCUCUGGGGCGCCAGCGGCGGGACGGCCCGGCCCGCCCGAGGGUGGGCGCCGGCAGCCGGGAGCCACGUUAGCGAUACCUCGUCAUUCCCGGGCUCUCCCUCCGUUCCUCCGGCCCGCGUGCACCGGCAUCUCCAGCCGCCCCCUCACUUCUGCCUCUCUCCCCCUCUCCGUCUCCGUCUCCGCCUGCCUCCCCUCCCCCUUUCUUUGCACCGGUGUUUCCCGUUCGGUUUCUUUGGGGGGGCCUCGAGAUCGCCCCGGCUUCGGAGAGCCCCUCCUGGCCGUGGUGGCGGGCGAGGGGAGGCGGGGGCGCCGGGGCGGGGGGAGCCGCUCCGCCCCCCGGCCCAGAGCGUCCCGGAGCAGAGGAGCCAGAGGCGGGGCGCGCCUCCCGCCGGCCGGGGUUCGGGAGAGCCCGCCGGCGCCGCCCCGAGCUCAGUAUUACUCCGCGGCCGUUUUCGCUCCCGUGGUUUCUCCGGUCCCCUCUUCAGGGAAGAGACGGUGUCCUCGGUCUGUCCGCCCGUCCGUCGGGGUGUCCGUCCGUCCGGGGGGGCCGGGGCCCCCCAGAGCGAGGCUCCCGGCAGCUGGCGCGGAGGCAGGGCCGGGGCCCCACAAAGCUACUGUAAACUUGAAAAGAAUUCCUGCGAGAUAUUUUUCUAAACUUUUUUCCUCGGUUGUUUUUGGAGGGGCGGGCGGGGCCUGGCGCUGGGGGGCGGGGGGCGGGCUUUGUGUUUCCGUUAUUAGCUCUUGGUUAUUUAUAUCUACAUAUACAUAUAUCUAGGCCCGCCCGGCCGCUGGGGAGCUCCGGGGCUGCGGCGGCGCGCGGGGGGCCGCGCCAAGGCGGCUCCCGGGGGAAGGGGCGCCGGGAGCCCAGAGCUGUCCGCUUCAGCACCGCCCGGCUCUGCGCAAAGCCGGCCAAAGUCACGCGUUCUCCUCCCUCCUCUGUGUUCUCUGUACAUAAUGCUGAGGGGGCGGGGCGGGGCGGGGCGGGCAGGGGCGGGCCGGGAGCCCCUCCGCUCCGGGCGGGCCCCGCCCCGCCCCCGCCCCGCCCCUCCACCUGCCGGCCUCCGCUUCCCGCUUUCCAUUGGCUCUCCCCGCCCCCGCCCAGGUGCCGAGCGCGCGCCCAGCCCGGCGGGGGAGCGCCGGGGAGGGAGGGGCCGAGGGCUGGGGGGAGGGAGGGGCCGAGGGCUGGGGGGCGGGCGGGCAGGCAGGUGAGCGAGGACAGGGCAGUUUUUAAUUGCAUGCCUUUACUGUAAUUAGUCCAUUUUGCUUUUGAUGUCUUUCCUGCCUCCUCUCGAAGCCCUCCUCCCCUCCUCCUCCCGUCUAGGUUAAAGGCACCUCCACCGAGGCUGGGACAGCGAGGAAGAGUCCCGGCGAGCCCCGAGGCGCGACAAGCAGGGCGGGGCCCCCCCCAGACCUGAGGAUCACCAAAAGCAAUACCACUUGUUAGCCUUCCUCCCUUCCGGUUUUGUACUUGGAACACGACGCGCGCGCGCGCUGGAAACGGACAGUCUCCAUCUGAUGUAUCCCUUGUCAGAUAACUAACUGUGAGCAACUUCGGUUCGGAACCAAUAAAUUCAUUCAGUGAAGACAUCAGCCGGCGGCUCCGUGUGCGUGCGUGCGUGCGUGCGUGCGUGGGGGGGGGCACGGGAGGGGCGAGUCCGGUUCCGGGCCACGCCCACCCGGCGCCGGCCGAGGAGGGCCCAAGCCUCGGGGCCCCGCCGCUCCCCAGAAAGAAGCGGGCUCCCGGCCCCGAGCGCAAAUCCCGCCUCAAACACUGGCCGCUUCCCGGCUGCGUGAUCCCGAGCCGGCCCCUUAACUCCAAGUGCCUCCAGCAAAACUCCAGCGCACUUACCCUGGGCUCCUGCUCCCCCU
ensembl:lncRNA